rnacentral:rRNA from 1 species
UGAAAGGGGAGCUAGGUGACGGGGAGGGAGGAGGGGCGAACAGUGGUCCCGGAGCCGUAGCGGAUGAGGAGGAGGUGGUGGUAACGAAUAAGGGGUGGAGUUGAAGGGAGAGAGGCAACAAAUAGGCCAGUAGCCGCCACGGACCUAGGUCUAGACCGCGUUCAUUCCGGACCACCACCCCGCUUCCCCGUGACCUCCGUCCGCCUGUACUGUUCGUCAACAGCCGGGCAGCGCCCACUCCGAGGUUCUCCCUUCUCCGCCCCUAUCCUCCGAGUUACCUUCUCCCUUCUACCUACUCCGCCCCUGUCCACUUCGUCGUCCGACCAGGAGCACCUCCGCCGCGACGGCCGGUCCCCGGUAAGCGCCAAAAAUAGACGACAGAAGAAUGAGGCCCCGUACGGUUCCUUCUUGAGUGCGUGUGGUCGGUUCCUCCUCGGUACUACACACACUCCAUCUCCACCUAGUAACCUCCACUUCGUCCAGAGGACCUACGCACGAAGUAGACUCUACGAGUCUAAUAUUCUUUCUCCUUAAAACAUUCAGUCUGUAGCUAACGAGUGGAAACUUCCAAUGUUUAAGUUCACGAUCCGAAAUUCCUACUUCGUUUAGGGUUAGAUCUUUGUACACAGCACGUGGUAUAUAAACAGUGGUCUUUGCUUACACGUCCGCUGUCGGUAAACUAAUCACAAUAUAGGUUGAUUCCGUUACCGUCGUACCCACCGUACUCUCCUUCCUACCCUUAGUCGAUGAACGUAAGCGUACCUCCUCCGUUGUAGCUACGCUACCGUGCUGUCUCCUCCAACCCGAGCAACACCUCGAAGAACUCCGUCGUCCUGCAGCCGCUCUCGUAGCGACGGCCGUUGCCGAGCUCUCUGGAGAACUCCUAGAAGAGGUACUCGUGGACCCUGCUGUGGUUGAGGUUGUAGUACAAGAGUCGCGGGCUGUCGUUCUUCCGGCUCCACGAGCCGCUGUCGUUACAGACGUACCAGUGGUCGAAGUCGUUGUAGCUGCGGGUCUAAGUCAAUAGGGAGAGCUCAACCUGUACGGGUCGUACCUGCUGAUGGACGUCGACGUCAUCCUGAGGCGGCUGACGUCUCAGGUGCGGUUCGCACCGACGUGUUGACUGGGUAUCUUGUAGCGAACCCUCCCUUUCUUCUUGUUCCUAGUUAUUCUCCGAUUCCUCCGACGUUCUGGAGUAAGGGAUGUACCUGUUCCAGUGUUCCUAUAAGACACAGGGUUCGGGAUAUCUUAUUACAGGUCAGAUUAAAGUCGUCACCCGUACUGUCGGAGUAUGAAGAGAGAAGUUAUAACUUCUUCGCCGAAUGAGCCUAGUUACCCGUACGUGAAUCUUUUUAUCGAUUUCACAUGCUCUAUAAGGAUCUCAUUUAUUUCCCGUACCACACGAGUAUUCAAUCUGUCUUCGUUUUACAAUAAAUAAUACGAGGACUACAUAGGAGUCUGUAAAAGAAGGUGGAUGGUUAUGGAGUCAUAACUUAUAGAUGAAAGGGUAGCAGCAUUUGACUACAAUCAUAAACACGUAUGAGAAAUAGAAUUCACCCUAAAGAAAUUUUUUGUACGGGAAUAUAAUGGUUUG